rnacentral:rRNA from 1 species
UACCAGCACCCCGAGUGGUCGGGACGUUUUAUUGGGCCUAAAGCAUCCGUAGCCGGUUCUACAAGUCUUCCGUUAAAUCCAACUGCUUAACAGGUGGGCUGCGGAAGAUACUAUAGAGCUAGGAGGCGGGAGAGGCAAGCGGUACUCGAUGGGUAGGGUAAAUCCGUUGAUCAUUGAAGACCACCAGUGGCGAAGGCGGCUUGCCAGAACG